rnacentral:rRNA from 1 species
UGGGGGAUAUUGCACAAUGGGCGCAAGCCUGAUGCAGCGACGCCGCGUGGGGGAUGAAGGCCUUCGGGUUGUAAACUUCUUUUGCUCUGAACAAGGCGCACUUUGGGGUGUGUUGAGUGUAGGGGUUGAUUAGCGCCGGCUAACUACGUGCCAGCAGCCGCGGUAAUACGUAGGGCGCGAGCGUUGUCCGGAAUUAUUGGGCGGAAAGGGCUUGUAGGUGGCUGGUUGCGUCUGUCGUGAAAGCUCAUGGCUUAACUGUGGGUUUGCGGUGGGUACGGGCUGGCUGGAGUGCAGUAGGGGAGGCUGGAAUUCCUGGUGUAGCGGUGGAAUGCGCAGAUAUCAGGAGGAAUACCGGUGGCGAAGGCGGGUCUCUGGGCUGUUACUGACACUGAGGAGCGAAAGCAUGGGGAGCGAACAGG